rnacentral:rRNA from 1 species
UGGGGGGAGCAAGCGUUGUUCGGAUUUACUGGGCGUAAAGGGCACGUAGGCGGCCACCGCAAGUCGACUGUGAAAUCUCCGGGCUUAACCCGGAAAGGUCAGCCGAUACUGCGGGGCUAGAGUGCAGAAGGGGCAACUGGAAUUCUCGGUGUAGCGGUGAAAUGCGUAGAUAUCGAGAGGAACACCUGCGGCGAAGGCGGGUUGCUGGGCUGACACUGACGCUGAGGCGCGAAAGCUAGGGGAGCGAACGGGAUUAGAUACCCCGGUAGUCCUAGCCUUAAACGAUGAAUGCUUGGUGUCUGGGGUUUUAUAGUCCCCGGGUGCCGUCGCUAACGCUUUAAGCGUUCCGCCUGGGGAGUACGGUCGCAAGACUG